UUGAGAAGUUGCUUCAGGGACAAAAAAAUAAGAGCCCAGAGAAACUAAGGGGCCGGAGUCCGACUUUGAAACCACAGAGUUUACUACAGUGUUUGUGUCUAAUCACAAAAGCAAACCACUGGGUGAGGAGAGACGGGGAAGGCGGCAAACAAAGGCUGGAAGCUAAAGUGACAAAACUGGGGCUGGAUGCUCACGUGUACGCUGCACGGUCCUUGUGAAGAUCUGCUCAUCUUGACGUCUUGUCCCUCAAGAGAAGCCGCCUUCCCGGGCUUGCAGGAUGGGCUCUCUUGCUUCCUCCACCGGCCACGUGGCUGCCUGAGAAUGUUCUUCUGUAGCUGAGCUGUGCAGUGGAUUUGCUUGUCCGGCCUGGAGAUGCACCAGGGUCAGCUUUAUGUCUCCGACCAGAACUACCCAGCUCCCCUCUGAUGGAAACCACAGGGGCUCAGUGGUGCUGGUAGCCAUCCUGGGAUGCCUGUAGACAAGGGCAAGGAGAAGCACGAAGGGCUCAAGCUCCUGUGGGAUGGAGGAUGGAGCUGAGCUGAGCUGAGCACACCCAGUUCCUGCUUCCACGUUCACCUUUCAGAUGAAGCCACGCUUCCUCCAGGAAGGAGCCGGUGAGGGCCAGAGAGAGACGGGGACGUCUGCUAAUGAGGCUCCCGCCAAGGGGAAGGUGACACAGCAGUGGGAAAGAGAGAAGUCCUGCACGGGGGAAGAAACUGAGGCACAGAUCUGUGACGUGCCCGUUCAAGGUGCAUGUUUCCAGAGUGGCAGCACCGGGCCGGAUUCCAGUCCUGAGACCCAGCCCAUGGGAGCCCGUGGAUCCGGAAACGUCCAUUAGUAACCUCUCAGCUUCAUCCCCGAAGAUAAAGCUUUAUUUACACAGGCUGCUGUCAGGAAGCGUGAGUAUACUUCUAGGCUGCUUCCUGUUGCUUCAUGCCUUUUAAAAAGAUCAAUACUGUAUCUUCUCUUUGGUGUGCUUGAGAAUGACAGGAUAAAACCAGCUGAGGUCAGAGAGCAGAACGUUCUUGCUGAAUUAACCAUGACCUGUUGGAAUCCCACUACAUAAUUCGCACACAGCAGAAUGCACCGGAACUCUGUUUUUCUCCCAGGAGAGUGGUCGUUGUGACAGAGGCUCUUGGCUGCCCGGGCCAUCUGCUGGGCAGUUCUCAUGAGGAGAGUGGGUCCGAGCGUCCUCCUUGGGCGGCAGCUUCUGUGCUCUCUGUCCAUGGGCGGCUCCGGUCAGCGAGGAGGUGGAGCUGCCACACUGGACGGAAACUGACUCCAGAAGGCUCCUAACUCCCCUUCGCAGGCGAGAUUCCAUGCCCCGCGGCCACCCCAGCCAAACUUCUGUGCACAUUUGCAAGUUUUGCAGGUUGCCCUUUUCUGACAUGAAGAGAUGAUAAACUCAGAGGUGGGCCCCUCUGCUGCAAAAGGGCUGCGAAGACAUCAAAGACCCAUUCGGCCCCGAGUCUUGCCGUCAGCCUGGCGGACGCUGGGUCUGCUCUUUGAAGAGUGUAUUUGACAUGUUCACUCCACAUUCAUUUAUUCUCCUUCCCUGCAACAUUUUUAAUCAUUGUUCCCUCUUCCUGCUUCAAGCUUAGCGGAGGUCUGACUGAGCAGCAGGAUUCCUGGGUUCUGCCCCUGCAAAGCUGGGUGUGGGUCCCCCCAAGUGGGGGCAGGUGGGGAAGCAGCCCUGGGCACCCAGGAGCGUGUGUCUACCUCUCGGGGGCAGGAACCGGCCCUCCAGAGCCUCACCGAGCACAGGCCUUGGGCACUUUGUCUAGAGGUCACCCUACUCAGCUCCCACAUUUCAGAUGAGGAAAGAGAGGCUCUGAGCGUGUUCCCAGCGUCCUCCUGCCCAUAGACAGAUCAAAUGACAUGACCGGCCUGGCCCUGGGCCACAGCGCAGAAUGUCCGGGGCUGGGGAUUGGGGCUAGGGCUAGGGGUCCACAGAGCAGACUUCUCCCUCUGCCCCAGGUGGAGAGCAAUUUGCCAUGGCCUUCAUUUCUAUCUGCCCCUGAAGUCUACAACUAGAAAUUUCAAAAAAUACCAUGACGGUUUUCUCUUUUAGAAAGUAGUCACUGUGCCCAAGCAGGGAAAUGCCAAGUGGUGGGGACUAAGGCCCACCUCAGGGGCCAGCUGGGGAAAGCAGAGGCUGUGGGGUUCACUGAGACCACCAGGAUGGGCUGGGAGCCUCUCCAGGCCAGGGCACCCACAGCUGCUGGACACUCCUGCCCAGCCCUAGGACUUGCGGGCUCUGGGAACACCCCCUGGGAGCUCUGACCGGCUGGCACUUAGCUGUGCCUGGAGCUGCUGGCACCCUUUAUGGAAGGCAGUUCUGUAACACUGUGCAAUUCUGCAAGGAGGAGGCAGAGACCUGGGGAGUGACGGACCCCCUGGGUCACCCGGCUUCAGGGGGAGUUCCUGGCGUUACCCGGGAACUUUUGUCUGCUGCCUGCUCCUUCUCCUCCCCUCUAGGCUGGCAUGCAGAGCCGUGCCACUUACCGAUGACAUCUACAAAACAAAGGCUUCCGAGCUCUCAAGCGUGAUUAGUUCAGGGCGCUGCGAAUGUAUAGGUACGUGUGCAACGUGACGAUCGAUGCACGGUGUUACGGGUUGAAUCGUGCCCCCCAAAAGUCCUAACCCCUGGUACCUGUGACUGUGACCCUAUAGGAAUUAAGGUCAUUGCAGAUGGAUUGAGUUAUGUUAAAAUGAGAACUGCCACCGAUCCACCAGGACUGGUGUCUGCAUAAAAAGGAGAGGACAGACAGACACCGGGGAGAAGACCAGGGUACAGGGAGGCAGAGACCAAAGUGCUGCAGAUGGAUUUCAAGGACUGCAGGGAGACACCCCAAGUUAGCAAGAGGCAGGGAAGAGGAGGCUCCCCCGCAGGUUUCAGAAGAAGCCCGGCCCUGCUGACACCUUGAUUCCAGAUUUGUAGCUUCCAGAACUGUGGUUUCAAGUCACCACUUUGCGAUACUUUGUUACAGCAGCCCCAGAAACUAAGACUUUGGUCACAUGACCCUUGGCUAUCGCUGAUGAGCCAAUGCUUGCAAGUGAAGCUUGUCUCAUUAAAAUCACUCAUUAUACCGUAUCAACUUACUUCUUUAGACUGUUGAUCGAGAAUAAGAAAAAGAUAGCAAAGCCAGUGACUCUUCAUGAGAAGCAAAAGUGAUAUUGAGACGUUUUUCCUUUUCCCCAAUGCCUGAGAUCUUCAUCAGACAGGGAGAGAGAAAGGAAGUGGAAUUCUUUUAUUAAGAUGCCCUGUCCAUCAUUUGAAUUAAAAGUGGGAAUUUUAACUAAAAAAUUCUCAGUUAUUCCUCUUUGAAACACGGGGUGUUGGCUUCUAGAGAUCCGAGUUUUUUGGCCUUUCAUUCUUGACAUUUGUGUCUAGACAGUUUGCAGAAGGUAAAGCUAUAAACCAAAUUGACCACUACUUGAUACUCCAAGUGGGGUGAGUGACCUUCUCCAAGGACAGGGGCACUCAGGGGCUAACGUGGGCUUUGCUCUUUGGGAUCCCAGGCUAUGGAUAACGCGUCUCUUACACCUUUGAAUUGCCUUCUUCAUAAAUUCCUUGAGGGAAUGGACUUCGGUGAUGAAGAAAUGUCUUAUGUAAUUCAUAAAUAAGAGCACAUACACCACCACGUUGCAUCUUACUACAACCACAGCUGCCUGCAGCCACGGUGGCACUUGGCCACCCUGCAAGCCACUGCCCACACUUUCAGACAUGAAGAUGCCCUUGGAUGGCUGGGAAGUGUGGACCCGACAUCCCGACCAAGGGCUUCCCAGGGGGUAGCUUCCUCCACCCUACAGAUGAGCCUGGAGCAGUCCCCCCAUAUUUCAUUUCUCCCCUUCCCCUCUCUAAUGACAUGACACAAGCAGGGACAGGCAUCUGUACCCAUCUCUACCCACCCCCAUCGCCACAAUGGCCGAUGGCAACUAUGCUUGUCGGAAAUCCAGGCUGUCUGACCACUGGGCCAACAAUGUAACUUACCGGUCAGACAAGGACAUUUCCAAGAGCCAAGGGUGGCACUAAAAAUGUCAUUAUUAUUACAUUGACAUGUAAUGUUUGAAAUAUUUAUUUAUUAACCAACAAAUCAAUCACAUUAUGUUGAUGUAUCCAUAAAAUAGUUCUAUUAACAAACGAGUUUCAGAAAUAAAAUCCUCACUAAAAAGAACAUAUCUGUGUUAAUUAAAACAAAAUAAAAGUAAAAUCCUUUAUAUAGGCUACCUGAAUAUUAUAAAAUAACAUAAGCAGAUUAUUCUUGAAAUAGUCUCAAACUUACUUUAAUCUGUUUCUUAGCUGUUUCUCUCUCCAUAAGAUUUCUUUUUACUCUUUUAUCUUUCUCAUCUUCUAAUAAAAUUGCAAUCUUCAUAUUUUCUUUUUGUGGUUAAUAAAUUUGAAAUUGUAGACACCAUCAAAUGAUUCUUCUCUGCUGACCAUAUAUGUUCAAUUGAUAAAAUAUUCUCUCUAUGGAUACUGAGAUAUCAAGUAAACUCAGCAUAUUUUGCUAAAUAGGAAAUAAUCUCCAUUGUAUUUUUUCAUAUACAAAUGUGAAAGUAUUUGAGGCUAAAUGUUGUCACGGAUUCCAUUCAUAUUCUUUCACUCAGAGUACAUUUCUUCACAUAUUUAUAAUUUGAAACUUGUCAAAUAAAUUUAUCUAUUAUUUAUGAUACUUUCGAAUGUUCCACCUUAUUUAGAUCCUACAAAAUUGUAAGUCAUCUCAAUUUAAUUCCAUUUUGUCAUAGAGUAUAAAUUUAUCCAAUUAAAAUAGGGGCUUUUUCAAAAUAUUUUCUCUAGAACUUGAGACAUACCCAAGCACAGCUAUAGAGUUUUGAAAUCAAAUCUUUACUGGAGCUCUCAUCACUUAACAUGUUCAGUUUCUCCUUUGCUUCUGGUCCAUUUAUAUUUUUUGUAAUAGCUGAUAAAGUUGGUUUUAAUUUAACCAUCUUGCUAUUUUUCUAUUUGCUCCAUCUGAUUUGUGUCCCUCCCUAUUUUUAUUCAGGUCCUUUUUGAUUAUUCCAUUCUAUUGGAUAUAUAGAGAUAUACAUCUUCAUAUUUUUUAUUUUAGUGGUUGCCUAGAGAUUGCAAUAUGCAUGCAUCCUUGAUUUAGCAGCGAUUUUCCACAUCCAAAGCAAUGCAAGUGUGAUUGUCAUGGAGGUGCUCUGUAGGUUCAAGAGAACCUGUUGCAAGGGGCACGGUAGGGGCAGCCUCCAGCUGCUGCACCUGCAGAUGUGCUACAGCAUCGUGCCAGGCCAAGCUCCGCCCCACCCAGGCUGCUCCCACCAGUGAGGGAGCAUGGAGGGAAGGCACAGCUGGCUCAGUCCUGCCCUUCUGGAUGCCUCUGACAGGUAGUCUUUGCUUGGAGAUCCCCACCCACCUGCUGAGAUGGGCAAGACUUUCUUGGAGCUGCACUGCAGCCUGAGGCUCUUCCUGCCCCAUCCUUGCUCCUUCCGUCUCUUCUUUCACAGAUGUUAGACCAGCAUCACAGUCCAGUGAAUUCUUCAUUUUGGAUAUUGUAUACGUCAGUUCUGGAAUGUCUGCUUGAUUUUUUAAAUAGAUCUCAAUUCUUUAUUGAUAUUCUCCAUGUUUUAUUUUGUAACUCUUUUUCUCUAUUUUCUUUAACAUAUUAAUCAUUGCUAUUUAAAGACCUUGUUUGCUAACUCUGAUGUCUGAGUCAUCUGUGAGUCUGAUUUUCUUGUCUGUGGAUAAAACAUUUACAAAGGGAGACACUAUUUUCCUUCAAAGAGUUUAAAUUUUCUAAUGUGCUUUCCUAUAUUUUGACGAUUGUCUUCCUUCCAGUUGCUUUCUGAUGUGGUUUCUCUCCAGUACUCUGAAACAGUUAUUUUUUAAAAUAAUUUGUUUAUCUUUUAUAAUUGUUAUUGGCAGGAGGAUUAAAGCAACAGAGGCUACUUCAUCGUGAUUGAAAACUAAACUCUCCCUUCCUUGCUUUUAGAUAGAUUUCAAUGCCUUCUUGUUCAUGGUUUUGCUUUCAAUAAUUGUACCUGCUAAAAGCUUCAAAAGCUAAAGUUCUUUGGCACUCCAUCCAGUGGAUACUUUAAGGAAAAAUUUUUAAGUGGCUUGUAAAAUUAAAGUGCCAUUAAUAGCACUGUAGAACAUUUAGGUUGAUUUACAGAACUUAUUCUUAAAAUUACAUUUAUUAUGGACAACAGAGAGAAAAAAUGUAUUGCCAUUAUAUGUAUUAUUUAUUCAACAUAAGUUUUAUCACAAAAAUGUUUUAUAAUUUGCUUAUUCUAACUGCAUAUGCAUACAUAUGCAUAUGUGCUCAUAUGUAUAUGUACAUAUAUGAUUGUAAAGUUUGAUGGCUAGAGCUUUAAUUCAGUCGGUUGACUACCAUAGCUUGUUUGACAAAUUUAUGAAUUAUGUUUGUACCAUAACUAACUCCAAAUUACAUUCCUUAGACUUCUUAGUUUAGCGAGUGCAUUGCUCUUACCACAAUUCUGUGUUCCACCAAACUUUGUAUUUAUAUUGUCACUGCAAAACAACUAACUUUAUUUCAAGGCUGUAUUUUUUGACUGAAUGGCAUUCACAAUAAUAUCAGAUGUUUCCCCUUCAAGCGAUUAAUUUUCCAAGGCUUUACUGUGAUUCCUGAAUUAAAUUUUUAAAAAAUUGAAUGUUUUAUUAAAAUUAACUUAAUGGGAUUUUUGUUUGAAGUAUGUGGUAACUCUGACUAAAAAUGAAAACCGCUGGCAUUUUUUAUCUGUUUGAGAAGUCCUUCCACACAUGGAGCCAACACAUUAACCACUUUCGCCCCACUUUUCUUGCAUACCUAUGAAAACUUGGAAUUGAAUAUGAGCAAAAUUAAUUUAGAAGGUGAUCAAAAUGAAAAGUCAUGCUUCACAGAGCAUAUGUAAGUGUACUUUCUGCGUCUGCAUUAUAUUAUGAUUUUGGAGGGCAAAUUUUUUUAUUAAUAAUGAUUAACAUUUUAAAGUAGAUGCUGAUACUUUUUCAGCAGAUUUGUGUCUUCUGAUUUUCGUAAAUUCAGGGUUGUUGUCAUGGCCCCAUGGUGGGUAAAUUCUUGGGCGAAAUGCAUGUUCUGUGUUCAUCAAUUUAUUAAAAAACAAAUGAGUACUUACUUUUAAAAAAAAUCAAGUAUGUACUUUUUAAAACUUACUGUGCUAAAAGGUUUCAUUGCAAAU